rnacentral:rRNA from 1 species
CCUACGGGGGGCAGCAGUAGGGAAUCUUCCACAAUGGGCGCAAGCCUGAUGGAGCAACACCGCGUGAGUGAAGAAGGGUUUCGGCGCGUAAAGCUCUGUUGGUGGAGAAGAACGUGCGGGAGAGUAACGGUUCACGCAGUGACGGUAUCAAACCAGAAAGGCACGGCUAACUACGUGCCAGCAGCCGCGGUAAUACGUAGGUGGCAAGCGUUAUCCGGAUUUCUUGGGCGUAAAGCGAGCGCAGGCGGUUGCUUAGGUCUGAGGUGAAAGCCUUCGGCUUAACCGAAGAAGUGCAUCGGAAACCGGGCGCCUUGAGUGCAGCAGAGGCCAGUGGACCUCCAUGUGUAGCGGUGUAAUGCGUAGAUAUCUGGCAGAACCCCAGUGGCGAAGGCGGCUGUCUGGUCUGCAACUGACGCUGCGGCUCGAACGCCUGGGUAGCGAACAGGAUUAGCUACCCUUGUAGUC